rnacentral:tRNA from 1 species
GCCUUCAUGGCGUGGUGGUCAGCACGCUCGACGCGUAACCGAGAGGUCCGUGGUUCGAUUCCCGGCGAAGGCG